AAGGUUUAUGUCUCCGGGAUAUUCAGGGUCUUUCGGACGAUUUUGCAAGUUUCAAGUAUUACGGACUUUUGCAUUUUUGUAACGAUGGUUUUAUUCGUUAUAUUCAGUCUUUCCAGGUAUCCUGCAAGCUUCUUGGUAACUAGCCCAGUGGCCGAUAUAAUUACAGGGAUAACAUGUACUGCUUUUAGGGUUGUGGUCCGAGGGAUGUGAGCCGUCGAUGAAAUACGCCUUUUUAUUAGCCUUAUCCAGCAGAAUAAUGUCUGGUCUAUUGCUGGCUAUUGGUUUAUCUGUUACUAUAGGUGUAUCCCAGUAUAGCCGAUAAUUUUCGUUCUCAAGAACUGGAGCAGAUCAGAAAUGCUAAUUUGGGGCCUGGUAGAAUACAUAAAAGUACAAAAAAACUGAUAAAUGCCGAAACACGUUAUACGAUGAAAUAACCAAGACAAAAAUAAGCAGUCUAAAAAUCAAGACUGCUCGUUAAGCGAUUCUUAACUGACGACGAGAAUCGCUUCAAGAAAAUUAGAACGGACCACCUCAGGCAAAAUUCGGUCGUUUGAAGUCGGCGACUUAACAUUUUUAUUGUAAUCAUCCACGAAAAUCUUAA